rnacentral:lncRNA from 1 species
GAAGAAGUCUUUCAUAUGCAUCCGGAAUCUCCUUAGCGUACCUGUUUCGAUAAUAAAACUCAAAAUUUAGCUUCACUCUCAUUUCUCCAAGUUAUUAAGAAACUGAGGGGGUGUUUGGCAACAUCUGAAUGAUUAAGUGCUGAACCAGUAAGAGGUCUGAACCAUUAACAGCCUGUAUAAUGCUUAACCGUUCAGAGGCAAAUGUCUGACCAGUCUGAACCAUUAAGAGCAUGUAUAAUGCUUAACCGUUCAGAGGCAAAUGUCUGA